AUAGUUUUUCAUUUUCUUAAUUCUUUUUAAUACUUGGGUUUGUGACUGGCUUUUGUAGGAGGAUUAUAAUUCCAGUCUCCUUGAGUGAGGUGUUCAACUUCUAUUGUAAUUCUUGUUUCUUUUUCUUGAUGGCUUAUUUAAAUUUUUGGUCAUUCUGCAUUUGCAACCUCAAUAAUGAAUUCACAAGCUAAUCCAACACUGCCUCUUAUUGGAUCAGGGCAAGAAUAUUACUAUUCGGGUUAUGCUUUCUCUUCUCCUAGAUUAGUUGGACUUUUGGGAAUUACGUGGAAUUAACAUUAUAUUUCUUAAUUUGUGUCAUAUAUUGUGAAAUUGGAUUGUUGCUAAUUGAUAUCGCUGUAAUCAAAUAUUUGGCAAUAGAGAAGACCGGUGUUUUCAGAGCUAGAAUAAUUUAUAUUUAUAAUUAUUGGUUUCAAUUGAAAUAUUGUAGUUUUUUAUUAGUUGUUUUGCUUUCUUAGUGCAUGACAAAAAUAUGUUCCUUAUAUGUCUACAAGAUUUUUUUUUUUGGUCCUUAGUCUCUUGCAAUCAUAAGAUCUAUACGAUUUUUGGCUCAUCUUAAAUUUCUAAUUCAUGUUUCUAUAACUGCUUUUCUUAGGCUUUGGUUUUUUGGACUGCUAUAAGUUCAGUCUCACCUGGUGAGGAUUUGAAAUUUCCCUUGCAAUUCUUGUUCCUCUGUCUUGUUUUGUUCAAUUUGAAUAUGGUAAUGCCUCUUAUUGUUGUGUGACAGGUAAAUGACAAAGUUUGUGACCUUAAGAUGGUUGCCGAGGGUAAAUAAUACAAAUUUUUGCUUUAUCUUGUCUUCAUUUACAUGAUUUGGGAUUCCUUGGAAUUACAUGGAUCUAACUUAUGUCUUUAGGUUUGCAUCGUAGUUCUUUUGAUAAAAGUUUGAAUGGUUUGCAUCAUAGGCUACGAUUACCAAGGAGCUAAUUCGUUCAGAAAGGAUUGGAAACUGAUUUGGACUUUUUUGUACUUGAGCUGGCGAGUUUGUGAAGAAGUCUUAAAUCUUUCUCGAACUUAAACUGUGUUUUGGUCCUCGGUAGCUCUUUUAAGGCAUUUGUUUUGGUGAAGUUGACUUUCCUCAAUCGAAUUGGUCCUUCUCUAUAGGAGAACAAUUCCACAUUGUUGGCUGGCUGGUAAUUAUGAGUUUUAAAAGUUAAAUUAACAUUAUAAAAAAAAAAGAAAAAAAAAAGUAAGUGCUUGCAUUAUGUGUAUUUUAGCUCCAUUUGUUUGGUUUUAACUAAUCCCAGCAUUACUAGGCAUUUUUGUCCCUGAUCCUUUUUCUAACUGCUGUCUACGUGCACUUAUUACAGCUUUUAAGAACUUAAGAUCGUCAAUUUUGUCAUUGGGCAGUCAUAUAAGAUAACAGCAGCCAGCUUUAAAAAUGGUUGUUUGAAUGCCAGAAAAAAUAUAAGAUUUACCCUGUAUACUCUUCCAUUCGUUAUGCAACUUUUGCAAUUGUAGGUGCAUGUGAAAAUAUCUCACUGGGAAUAUUUUUUGGUGCUUGGCAGCUUAAGGCUUGUUGUUGUUGUUGGCAGCUUAAGUGAUGGAGUUUAGUUUGGUGAUAAGCAAUAUUUUCUUUCCCCAUUGUUUUCUUUAUUCUCUCCAUCAAUCAUAUGAUUAUAUGCCACUAAAGUCUUGAGCUUUCUACAUCUGUUUGGUCAUCCUGUGUUGGGAGUUUCAUAUCCAAUUUGGUUUGCCGCUUAUUAUCUAUCUACCAAAUGCAACAAUUUUUUUUUUUUUAAUUAUUAUUUUUGUGGUUUCAUAUCCAAUUUGGUUUGCUGCUUAUUAUCUAUCUACCGAAUGCAACAUUUUUUUUUUUUAAUUAUUAUUUUUGUGGUAUGCCACUUAAGCAGUGGAGUCUGAUUUGGCAAUAGGCUCUCUUUUCCUCCCUUUUUAUGUUACUUCAUUUUCCUUUACUACAAUCAUAAGAAUUUGAAGGAUAAUUUUUUCUUGUUUUAAUGCCUUUCUAAUAGGGUAUGUGAAUGCUUUUCCUAGGAGAGUUACAAGUUCUAGUCUCCUGAGUGAGGUUUUGAAACUUCUAUGGUAAUUUUUGUUCCUUUUACUUGCUGUCUCAUUUAAUUUUUGGUCAUUUUGUGUUGGCAACCUCAGUAAUGAAUACCCAGUUUAAGCUAGUGAUGUCUCUUAUUGGUGUGGAGCAGUAAUAUAGCCAUGUGUGACCUGAAUUUGGUUGUGGACGUAAAACAAUACAGGUUUUGCUUUCUCUUCUCUUAGCAGUAUUUGGAAUUUUUGGGAAUUACAAGGAAUUCACUUUAUAUUUCUGGAUUUGCUUCAUAAUUUGUUAAGUUGGAUUGUUGUUGAUUCUUUUCCGUGUCACCAAAUAUCUGGCAACAGGGAAGAGCUAGGCUUUCAGUGUUUUAAGUACUUAUCUUUAUAUUUGUUGGAUUAUAUUUAUUCCGAAAUAUAGUAAGUUUAUUUUAUUCAUUGUUUUGAAACUCUUAGUGCAUGUUAAAAAUCUAUUCCUUAUAAAUCUCCAGGAACCGGUAUUUUCUUUUUGGGUACUUAGCAGAAGUGGUUGAGUUUGAUAUAGUGAUAAGCUCUCUUUUUGUACCGCUUUAAUCUCUUUCUUGCCAUCAUAAGAAUUAUACAAAUUUUGGCUCUUUUAAUUCUUUAUAAUAUCUGGGCCUGCUUUUGUUAGGCUUAGCUUUUCUAGACAGCCAUAAAUUCAAUGUCCCACCUGGUGAGGGUUUGAAAUUUCCCUAGCAAUUAUAUUUCCUCUGUCCUGUCUUGUUUAAUUUUUUUUCAUUCAGUCUGAAGAUGGUAAUGCCUCUUAUUGUUGUGGGGCAGGUAAAUUAACAAAUUUUGUAGCCGAUCUUUGCCAGGGAAAAAUAAUACAGGCUUUGGCUUUAUCCUGUUAUGAUUUGCACGUGUUGGGCUUUGUAGGAACAGCAUGGAUCAAAUUUAUGUCUCUAGAAUUGCAUUAUAGUUUGUAACCUUAGAUUGUUGCUGAUUGCUUUCCUUGUCGUAGAAAGUGAGUGGGCAAAUACUGUCAAUAUCAAAUCAGGUUCAUUUUCAGUCUGAAGUUUUUGCCAUUUCUGGUCUCAUAUUUGAGCACUGAUUGACAUGUUUCUUUAUAAGCUGUCGAUGUCCAUCUUGUUGUUUUGUGUGGACAAUGUUCAUUAUUUUAAUCUUGAUCUAUCUACAGCAGGGGAAAUUGAGUUGUACUUUCUUGUACUUGAGCAGCUGAGUUUGUAUAAAAGUCUUACUUUUUUUUGAACUUGGCUGCGUUGACUGUAAAUAUAAAAAGGCUCUUUUUUUUUUGGGUUCUUGAAUUUCACAUUUUGCUUAUAAGUCCUUAGUAUAGUGUCCCCACUAACAUGAUACUAUACUAUUCCUUGUUCAAUUUUCUUGUAGGUUUUGGUCCUUGACAGCUCUGUGAAGGCAUGUGUUUCUGUGAAGUUGGCUUUUCUAGAUCGAUUUGGUUCUUGUCUGUAGGAGCACAAUCCCUUAUUGUUGGCUGGCUGUAGUUACAUUUAUUGGUGUGGGCAGAUCACGUGCCGUGGUGAUUGGCAUGAGUUGGGCCUUCUGGGCAUUACAUGAAGAAUUUGCAUCAUAAUCUGUAAUCUUAAGGUUAUUGCCGAUUGAUUUCCUCAUCAUAGAAAGUGAGUUGGCAGAUCUUGUCAAUAUUGAACCAAGUUGUUAGUCCGAAGUCUUUGUUAUUCUGGACUCUGUACAAUUUGGGCACUGAGUAACACAGGCAUCUUUAUAAGCUGGUGAUGAUCUCUUUGUGGUUUUAUGAACACAAUGUUGAUAAUUUUUAUUUUGAUUGUUUACUGGAGGCAAAACUGAUUUUGACUUACCUGUAUUUAUCGUGUAGAGAUGAGUUCUUUGAAAGAAAGUUUUUAUGGCAACUUCUGCAGUUUUGAGUGUGUGUUAAAAUCUCAAUUUUAACAUGUCUACAGGAAGCAGAAUUUUUUUUUGGACUUAUGGGGGAAGUUAGAUUCUGCAAUAAGAUCUCUUUUCCUCCUGUUAGUGUCUGCCUGUGAUGGUUUGAAACUUCUGUUGCAAUUCUUUUCCUUUUGUAAUACAGUCUUGUUUAGUUUUGAUCAUUCUGGUUGGUACAACUCAUCUCUUAUUUGUAUGGGUCAGGUAGAUUGGUAGUGAUGGUGAUCCAAAUUUGGUUGUGGAGGUAGAUUAAUACUGGUUUUUGCUUUGCCCUGUGAUUGGCAAUAAGUUGGCUUUAUAAUAUAUCCAAUCUGCCUGCUUUAAAGACUUGCUGUUCUCUAAAUGCCUGAGAAGUGUGAGUAUCUGCUUCCUUAUGUACACUAUAGGUGAGUUUGUAAAGUCUCAAAGUUAUAUAGUUUUCUCUUGUAUUGUUGGAUCGUGAUGGAUCCAAAAAAAGAAAAAGAAAAAAAUGAAAUAGAUGUAUAGACAAAGUAAAUGUAAUUAAACUUAAUAAAUUUAAUAGUGUUUAUUUUUAAGACCUAAUAUAUAAUGGUUGUUAAUUUUUUUUUUGA